UCGCAAUGAUGUAAUUGAAUUUCUUCACCUGACUGGAUAAUGAAGAUUAAAUCCGAGCUUUUUAACCCUGAGCUGU
ensembl:snoRNA SNORD36 Small nucleolar RNA SNORD36